GACGAACGCUGGCGGCGUGCUUAACACAUGCAAGUCGAACGGAAAGGCCCUGCUUUUGUGGGGUGCUCGAGUGGCGAACGGGUGAGUAACACGUGAGUAACCUGCCCUUGACUUUGGGAUAACUUCAGGAAACUGGGGCUAAUACCCGAUAGGAGCUCCUGCUGCAUGGUGGGGGUUGGAAAGUUUCGGCGGUUGGGGAUGGACUCGCGGCUUAUCAGCUUGUUGGUGGGGUAGUGGCUUACCAAGGCUUUGACGGGUAGCCGGCCUGAGAGGGUGACCGGCAACAUUGGGACUGAGAUACGGCCCAGACUCCUACGGGAGGCAGCAGUGGGGAAUAUUGCACAAUGGGCGGAAGCCUGAUGCAGCAAAGCCGCGUGCGGGAUGACGGCCUUCGGGUUGUAAACCGCUUUCGCCUGUGACGAAGCGUGAGUGACGGUAAUGGGUAAAGAAGCACCGGCUAACUACGUG
rnacentral:rRNA from 1 species